CAAAUAUUGACUGCCUGCUGUCCCCCUGUUCCGGGUGCCGGGAAUAUAGUGGACACAAGACCCCUGCCCUCCUGUUCCGGGUGCCGGGAAUAUAGUGGACACAAGAGGCCUUACAUUGUAACAGGAGUGCUGGACAGAUGUGCCUGUCUGUCGCAGGCUGAGGAGCGCCAGGAAGUCCAAAGCCAAGCCUAAUGGCAAGAAGCCCGCUGCGGAGGAGAGGAAGGCCUACCUGGAGCCUGAGCACACCAAGGCCAGGAUCACCGACUUCCAGUUCAAGGAGCUGGUGGUGCUGCCCCGCGAGAUUGACCUUAACGAGUGGCUGGCCAGCAACAGUGCGCGGGGGCCUGGGGGCGGGCCCCCUCCCUCCUCCCUGCUCCUCCUCGAAGCCCCUCCUCAAGGGGGACCCCCACGGCUGGUGCUCAGCAGCCCCCUGCCGCGAGGGGAGAAUGUGGCCCGUGGACGGGCAGAGCUCACCCAG
rnacentral:lncRNA from 10 species